rnacentral:rRNA from 1 species
UUCGCCCUUAAAGGUUGAUGCUGGCUCAGGACGAACACUGGUGGCGUGCCUCACGCAUGUAAGUCAAACCGAGCUAAUGAUAUCUGUUAUUAACUUAUUGGCGAAUGGGUGAGUAACUCGUGAACAACCUGCCCCAUAGAGGGGGAUAACAGUGAGAAAUCGUUGCUAAUACCGCAUAAGACCAUGCUAUCGCCUGAUAGAGGGGUCAAAGAUUUAUCUCUAUGAGAGGGGUUGGUGUCCCAUUAUGUAGUAGGCGGGGUAACGACCCACCUAGCCGUCGAUGGGUAGCCGAGCUGAGAGGCUGAUCGGCCACACUGGAACUGAGACACGGUCCAGAGUCUUACGGGAGGCAGCACUGGGGAAUAUUGGGCAAUGGGCGCAAGCCUGACCCAGCAACGCCGCGUGAGGGAAGAAGGUUUUCGGAUAGUAAACCUCUGUCUUUGGUGAGGAAGGAAGUGACGGUAGCCAAGGAGGAAGCCCCGGCUAACUACGUUCCAGCAGCCGCGGUAAUACGUAGGGGGCGAGCGUUGUCCGGAAUUACUGGGCGUAAAGGGUGAGUAGGCGGUUUUUUAAGUUGGAUGUGAAAUUCCCGGGCUUAACUUGGGGGGUGCAUUCAAAACUGGGGAACUAGAGUACAGGAGAGGAAAGCGGAAUUCCUAGUGUAGCGGUGAAAUGCGUAGAUAUUAGGAGGAACACCGGUGGCGAAGGCGGCUUUCUGGACUGAAACUGACGCUGAGGCACGAAAGCGUGGGGAGCAAACAGGAUUAGAUACCCUGGUAGUCCACGCUGUAAACGAUGAAUACUAGGUGUAGGGGGUAAUACUCCCUCUGUGCCGCAGCAAACGCAAUAAGUAUUCCGCCUGGGGAGUACGGCCGCAAGGUUGAAACUCAAAGGAAUUGACGGGGGCCCGCACAAGCAGCGGAGCAUGUGGUUUAAUUUGACGCAACGCGAAGAACCUUACCAAGGCUUGACAUCUUACUAGAGAAGUAGAGAUACAUCAGGUGCCCUUCGCGCAAAGUAGAGACAGGUGGUGCAUGGUUGUCGUCAGCUGUCGUAGUGAGAUGUUGGGCUAAGUCCCGCAACGAGCGCUACCCGUAUUGUUAGUUGGUACGCCAGAGCACUCUAGCGAGACUGCCGUUGACAUAAUGGAGGAAGGUGGGGAUGACGUCAAAUCAUCAUGCCCCUUAUGUCCUGGGCUACACACGUAAUUCAAUGGCGGUCAACAGAGGGAUGCAAAACCGUAAGGUGGAGCGAACCCAUAAAACCCGUCCCAGUUCAGAUUGUGGGCUGCAACCCGCACACGUGAAGUCGGAAUCGCUCGUAAUGGCGGAUCAGCAUGCGGCGGUGAACAAGUUCUCG